rnacentral:rRNA from 1 species
CCUACGGGAGACAGCAGUGGGGAAUAUUGGACAAUGGGGGGAACCCUGAUCCAGCGACGCCGCGUGAGUGAAGGAGUAUUUCGGUAUGUAAAGCUCUAUCAGCAGGGAAGAAAGAAAUGACGGUACCUGCCCAAGAAGCCCCGGCUAACUACGGGCCAGCAGGCGCGGUAAUACGUAGGGGGCAAGCGUUAUCCGGAAUUACUGGGUGUAAAGGGAGCGUAGACGGUUAAGUAAGUCUGGAGUGAAAGGCCGGGGCCAAACCCCGGGACUGCUCUGGAAACUAUUGAACUUGAGUGCAGGAGAGGUAAGCGGAAUGCCUAGUGUAGCGGUGAAAUGCGUAGAUAUUAGGAGGAACACCAGUGGCGAAGGCGGCUUACGGGACUGUAACUGACGUUGAGGCUCGAAAGCGUGGGGAGCAAACAGGAUUAGAUACCCGGGUAGUC